UACGGGGGGGGCAAGCGUUGUUCGGAAUUACUGGGCGUAAAGGGCGCGUAGGCGGCCUGCUAAGUCGGAUGUGAAAUCCCCCGGCUCAACCGGGGAAUUGCGCUCGAUACUGGCAGGCUCGAGGUGGGUAGGGGUGAGCGGAACUCCAGGUGGAGCGGUGAAAUGCGUAGAUAUCUGGAGGAACACCGGUGGCGAAAGCGGCUCACUGGACCCAAUCUGACACUGAGGUGCGAAAGCUAGGGUAGCAAACGGGG
rnacentral:rRNA from 1 species